CGCGCUCGGAAACUCAAUGCCAGGGCACAAAGGCUCCCGCAGGCCUCCUGUAUGCUGACAUGGAUCCGGUGUACCGGGGCCUGGGUCGCUGCGUGUGCUGUUUCUGGCUCGCGGUAGCCUUUGACAUUGUGGGGCUGCUCGUGCUUCUUACCGGGGUGUUUGUGAGCGUGUUCUUCUACGAUCUGCUCAUCUACGCGGGAGCCAUCGUGAUCUUCCUCAGCCUCAUCUGGUGGGUGUUCUGGUACUCCGGGAACAUCGAGGUCCCCCCGGCGGAGCUGGAGGAUGACGUCGGGCUACUGAAGAAGGACCAGGGCGGGUGGAGCGGCGCGGUGAGGCGCCUCUCCAGCCGUGUGUCCAGCGGCAUCAGGACCUCGUUCCGGAGGAACGGAGCACCAUCGCGCGCGACCGGUACGCAGAGGGCAGCCGGGGGGCCGCCGGUGGCCCCGCAAGCCGAGCAGGUUGCCGUUUCCAUGGCAACGAUGAACCCACAGGGGGAUACCCCGCACAGUACUGUCCCACGAGCUGCAGGCUGUGACGUAGAAAUGCCGCACACAACGACAGAGACCUCCCCGACAUAGUGUAAGUGGACAGACUUUGGACAUAGAGAACAUAGAACGACUCAUAAUCCCAGAGACUUCACGACAUGAUACGGCCUGCCCCACACUGUCUUCAGCUCCACUUCAUGCUCAACUCUUGAUGUUGAUGUGUUUAAUGAGAAAUUAUGAAUAAUAGACAAUGGUAUUCAGACAAUGUGUUGCUGAGUACAGCUUUAUUUCAAUGUAAUUUCCUAAUAAAUGUUAUGUUUGAAUCGGUUUAGCAGGGUCAAUUCAGUCUGUGUGAGAUCCAGAGACAUCAGAGAUAUUGUCAGUUCAUAUCUGUGACUGUUUCUAAUGUACCUGUGAUGACUGCGUUGUUGGACUAAACUGAUUUGUUGUGAUUUUGUAUGUAUUUAAUGUGCUCUUAUAAAGGGCUUCUCCUAUCUUCGAUGCAGUAAUCAGAUGUGUUUGUAUACAUUGAGUGUCAUUAUCCGACAAUAUCUUACAUCAGUGGGAUUGGAUUCCUCUAGUUGAAAGAGUGAAUUAUACAAUAACAAUCGACAUUUAACCUUCAAAAUGUUUGCUACUAGUUAUGGGGUCAUAUCUUUCUCCUUACUGAACUCAAAUAAACUUAUUUGAA